AAUAGAUUGAACACUGCCUUUUCCAAAAGUAGAUUUACCAACGAUUACUGCCCUUUUAUAAUCCUGCAUAGAACCAGCAAUAAUCUCACUAGCAGAUGCUGACCAUUCAUUUACUAUUAUAACCAUUGGUAUAGUCCUGUUUGAAAAGUUAACUGAUUCUGUUUUAUAAUGUUUUUCCUGUUUAUCUCUUUCUCUUGUAAAAACUACUGUCUGGUUUACUGGUAAAAAGAUACUUGCAAUAGAAAUAGCUUCGUUUAAUAAACCGCCGCCAUUAUUUCUUA
rnacentral:ncRNA from 1 species